ACUAUGUGUUGUUGGGUAGGGGAGCGUUCUGUAAGCCUGUGAAGGUGGCCUGUGAGGGUUGCUGGAGGUAUCAGAAGUGCGAAUGCUGACAUAAGUAACGAUAAAGCGGGUGAAAAGCCCGCUCGCCGGAAGACCAAGGGUUCCUGUCCAACGUUAAUCGGGGCAGGGUGAGUCGACCCCUAAGGCGAGGCCGAAAGGCGUAGUCGAUGGGAAACGGGUUAAUAUUCCCGUACUUGGUGUUACUGCGAAGGGGGGACGGAGAAGGCUAUGUUGGCCGGGCGACGGUUGUCCCGGUUUAAGCGUGUAGGUGUGUGUUCCAGGUAAAUCCGGUUCACUUUAACACUGAGGCGUGAUGACGAGGCACUACGGUGCUGAAGCAACAAAUGCCCUGCUUCCAGGAAAAGCCUCUAAGCAUCAGGUAACAUCAAAUCGUACCCCAAACCGACACAGGUGGUCAGGUAGAGAAUACCAAGGCGCUUGAGAGAACUCGGGUGAAGGAACUAGGCAAAAUGGUGCCGUAACUUCGGGAGAAGGCACGCUGACAUGUAGGUGAAGUGAUUUACUCAUGGAGCUGAAGUCAGUCGAAGAUACCAGCUGGCUGCAACUGUUUAUUAAAAACACAGCACUGUGCAAACACGAAAGUGGACGUAUACGGUGUGACGCCUGCCCGGUGCCGGAAGGUUAAUUGAUGGGGUCAGCGCAAGCGAAGCUCCUGAUCGAAGCCCCGGUAAACGGCGGCCGUAACUAUAACGGUCCUAAGGUAGCGAAAUUCCUUGUCGGGUAAGUUCCGACCUGCACGAAUGGCGUAAUGAUGGCCAGGCUGUCUCCACCCGAGACUCAGUGAAAUUGAACUCGCUGUGAAGAUGCAGUGUACCCGCGGCAAGACGGAAAGACCCCGUGAACCUUUACUAUAGCUUGACACUGAACAUUGAGCCUUGAUGUGUAGGAUAGGUGGGAGGCUUUGAAGUGUGGACGCCAGUCUGCAUGGAGCCGACCUUGAAAUACCACCCUUUAAUGUUU
rnacentral:rRNA from 1 species